GCAACCCUUAUGACUAGUUGCCAGCAUUUAGUUGGGCACUCUAGUAAGACUGCCGGUGACAAACCGGAGGAAGGUGGGGAUGACGUCAAAUCAUCAUGCCCCUUAUGACCUGGGCUACACACGUGCUACAAUGGAUGGUACAACGAGUUGCGAGACCGCGAGGUCAAGCUAAUCUCUUAAAGCCAUUCUCAGUUCGGACUGUAGGCUGCAACUCGCCUACACGAAGUCGGAAUCGCUAGUAAUCGCGGAUCAGCACGCCGCGGUGAAUACGUUCCCGGGCCUUGUACACACCGCC
rnacentral:rRNA from 1 species